rnacentral:rRNA from 1 species
CCUACGGGAGGCUGCAGUGGGGAAUAUUGGACAAUGGGGGAAACCCUUAUCCAGCGACGCCGCGUGAGGGAAGAAGGUUUUCGGAUUGUAAACUCCUGUCAGUGGGGACGAUAAUGACGGUAUCUACGGAGGAAGCCACGGCUAACUACGUGCCAGCAGCCGCGGUAAUACGUAGGUUGCAAGCGUUGCCCGGAAUUACUGGGCGUAAAGGGAGCGUAGGCGGGAUGUCAAGUCAGAAGUGAAAUUUAUGGGCUCAACUCAUGACCUGCUUUUGAAACUGAUAUUCUUGAGUGAGGUGGAGGCAAGCGGAAUUCCUGGUGUAGCGGUAAAAUGCGUAGAGAUUAAGAGGAACACCAGUGGCGAAGGCGACUUGCUAGGCUUUUACUGACGCUGAGGCUCGAAAGCGUGGGGAGCAAACAGGAUUAGAUACCCGUGUAGUC